rnacentral:lncRNA from 7 species
AGAUGAAGGGACAAAACAUCCCUUAAGAACAGAUGUGCAAGGAGAACUCACUUUUGGCACCAAUUGCUUCUGCAGGAAAGGCAAGGCCAAAUAAGACUUCGGGACAUGUGCCAUUUCACAAUGGAUUGGAGGAGGAAGAAGAGGAGGAGGAGAAGGAGUCACAGAAGGAGCUGGAUUUGCCAGUCUUGGAGAAUGAGCCCUCACCAGAUGAAGGGCGUUUAUGAGCAAGGUGGGGAUUUGUUACCAGCCUGUCCUUCGUAGGGACGCUCGGCAGCUUAUUGCCCAUGAACCAAACUAUUGCAAACUGGGCUCAAACCAACAUAAACCACGGAGCAUCAUUUCUUUUUUUCUCCUCCCAACCCGAUGACAUCUCCAUCUAUUACUGAACCUCUGUGCAUGUGCCUUCUCCAGAUCUUUUGCAGGAGUUGGAAGGGACCUCUGGGGAUCAUCAAGUCCAACCCCCCUCUAAGCAGGUUCCUUACAGUACGUUGCAGAUUCCUCUCAUUGUUUGAGCACCCAAACCUUUGCUGAGUGUUUCAGUGGGUCACAAAUAACAGCAGAGUUCCUGGCCACUGAGCUU